GGCUGGCACCUCCCUACACCGAGGCAGCUGGGAGCAGGCCCAAGCUUCGCAGCUCUCUGAGCAGGCCCUGCUUGUCUCUCCACCUGAGGGCCGUGUCCUCUGUGGCAUGGACCGGCAGCAGCAGAGCUCAGGGCAAAGUGGAGGACAGGAUGUAACCAGGAGAGCAAAGCACAAGUCACGCGUUUCCUCAUGCUGGAGACGCAACAUCUUCCUGCCUGAGAAGUGAGGGGACCGUCCAGACCCCUAAGGUCAGAGGAGCCGUCACAGGACCCAAAGGAAAAGGAAUCUCUGUCUCUUGUGUGAUUAUUUCGUGCAGCCCAGUUCCCCUGGAGUGACCCUGGGUGUUAGUCUCGAGGAAUGUGACGGAGGUGACUGUCGGCAGAUGGGGUGUGGCUGGAGGAGUCAAAAACUGAGAUGUGCCCUAGAAGAGGGCGUCUUCCUUGCAGCUCCUUACCUCUCCCCAUCUCUCCUCCUGACCCUGACAGGAGCUGAGCAUCUUUCCUCUGUUGGGCCUUCUCCCAUGGUGUGCGUGGGGCCAGAGCAAUGGAAUCUGCCAUCUAUGAACUGAGACCUCUGAAACUGUUACCCCAAAUAAAC